AGGCUUAUGGUAGUAAUUUAUGUUCCCAACGUAGGAACUCCUACCCUCAGGAACUUUUCUUGCUUCGUCAAUGACUGCAUCCACUCUAAAAAAUGUGUCAUCAUCACCCUUCAUAAUAUGCUUUGCAUGCACAGUGCGGACCCCAUAUUCACAGAUAGCAACAGUUUUUAAUACUACAAGGUCAUAAUUAUCCAUGUAAGGCACGAUAACAAUGUCACCAAAAAAUUCUGCCUCUUUCUUCAACUCCAAAUUCACUUCUUUCUGGGCGUGCAGUGCUACAAAGAAACAAGCUACUGCAUUUGAAGAUUUAAUAAGCC
rnacentral:misc_RNA from 1 species